rnacentral:lncRNA from 11 species
CAGCUCUCACCAUCUCCAGGUAGUUUGGACUGUGUUGAGAUAUUGACCAUGGGAUUUGCAUUCUCACAUUAUCUUGGCAAUCACAAUCUAAGAUCUGACAAAGGAAGCAAAAACAUGGAAAUCUGCCCAAUACAGAAGCUGGCACUUUCCCCAAAUACACAGAGGCACCUCAAUCUGUAAUUCUGAAUCAUUGCUAGGAGCAGGAGCAAGUGUCCAGGUUCCCCAGAUCCACAGCCCAUUUUUUUUAGCCUUAUGUGCCUCUCAAGAAGUUUGUUGGACAAUAACACCCAGCAUGCCCUCACUUUUGGAAAUGCUGGUAAGGGCUGAUGAGAGUUGAAUUUCAACAACAUGGAGGCCUGUUAUUUGGCUGAACCCCAUUCUAACCAAACAGGC